rnacentral:rRNA from 1 species
GACGAACGCUGGCGGCGUGCUUAACACAUGCAAGUCGAACGGUGAUGCUCCAGCUUGCUGGAGUGGAUCAGUGGCGAACGGGUGAGUAACACGUGAGCAACCUGCCCCAGACUCUGGAAUAAGCGCUGGAAACGGCGUCUAAUACUGGAUACGAAACUGGCCCGCAUGGGCAUGGUUUGGAAAGUUUUUCGGUUUGGGAUGGGCUCGCGGCCUAUCAGCUUGUUGGUGAGGUAAUGGCUCACCAAGACGACGACGGGUAGCCGGCCUGAGAGGGCGACCGGCCACACUGGGACUGAGAAACGGCCCAGACUCCUACGGGAGGCAGCAGUGGGGAAUAUUGCACAAUGGGCGAAAGCCUGAUGCAGCGACGCCGCGUGAGGGAUGACGGCCUUCGGGUUGUAAACCUCUUUCAGCAGGGAAGAAGCGAAAGUGACGGUACCUGCAGAAGAAGCACCGGCUAACUACGUG